AACGAACGCUGGCGGCAUGCCUAACACAUGCAAGUCGAACGGAUGCAGCAAUGCAUCAGUGGCAGACGGGUGAGUAACACGUGGGAAUCUACCCAGUAGCCUGGAAUAACCGCGGGAAACUGCGGCUAAUACCGGAUACGCCCCUCGGGGGAAAGGAGCAAUCCACUAUUGGAGGAGCCCGCGGCCGAUUAGCUAGUUGGUGAGGUAACGGCUCACCAAGGCGAUGAUCGGUAGCUGGUUUGAGAGAACGACCAGCCACACUGGGACUGAGACACGGCCCAGACUCCUACGGGAGGCAGCAGUGGGGAAUAUUGGACAAUGGGGGAAACCCUGAUCCAGCAAUGCCGCGUGGGUGAUGAAGGCCUUCGGGUUGUAAAGCCCUUUUGGCGGGGACGAUGAUGACGGUACCCGCAGAAGAAGCCCCGGCUAGCUUCGUGCCAGCCGCCGCCGUAACAC
rnacentral:rRNA from 1 species